UACGGGGGGAGCAAGCGUUGUUCGGAUUUACUGGGCGUAAAGGGCGCGUAGGCGGUCAGCACAAGUCAGUUGUGAAAUCUCCGGGCUUAACUCGGAAAGGUCAACUGAUACUGUGCGACUAGAGUGCAGAAGGGGCAACUGGAAUUCUCGGUGUAGCGGUGAAAUGCGUAGAUAUCGAGAGGAACACCGGUGGCGAAGGCGGGUCUCCGGGCCGAUACUGACGCGUGAGGAGCGAAAGCGUGGGGAGCGAACAGG
rnacentral:rRNA from 1 species